CAAUCAAUAAAGGGCAUAUGGUGGAGACCUAGGGACCUAGAGCCGAUGAAGGGCGUGACAACCGACGAUAUGCCUCGGGGAGCAGGACGUAUGCACUGAUCCGAGGAUUCCCGAAUGGGACAACCCAUAACAUUCCUUCUUGAAUUCAUAGAGAAGAGAAAGACAACUUAGUGAACUGAAACAUCUUAGUAGCUAAAGGAAAAGAAAGCAAAAGCGAUUCCCAAAGUAGCGGCGAGCGGAAUGGGAACAGCCUAAAAGGACUUUGACAGCAAUGUAAAGACCAGGUCAUGGGACCAAACAGAUGGCCUUGUAUGGAAUGAGAAACGAAACAGCUGAAACCUGUACCAUAGAUGGUGAAAGUCCAGUCGUUGUAUCACACCCAACACAGCAGCACGCUGCUAGCCGUUUGGCUCCCGAGUAGUAUGGGACACGUGAAAUCCCGUAUGAAUUUGCGAGGACCACCUCGUAAGGCUAAAUACUCCUAGGUCACCGAUAGCGAAUAGUACCGCGAGGGAAAGGUGAAAAGAACCCCUUUACGGGGAGUGAAAUAGAACAUGAAACCGUAUGCUUACAAUUUGUGGGAGGAUGUACACAUCUGACCGCAUGCCUGUUGAAGAAUGAGCUGGCGACUUAGAAGAAGUGGCAGGUUAAGAUUUUCCAUCGAAGCCAAAGCGAAAGCAUGUCUGAUAAGGGCUCUCGUCCCUUCUUCUAGACCCGAACCCAGGUGAUCUAACCAUGACCAGAAUGAAGCUUUGGUGAUACGAAGUGGAGGUUCGAACCGACCGAUGUUAAAAAAUCGACGGAUGAGUUGUGGUUAGGGGUGAAAUGCCAAUCGAACUUGGAGCUAGCUGGUUCUCCUCGAAAUGCGUUGAGGCGCAGCGGUUGAUUAUGGGCUUCCAGGGGGUAAAGCGCUGUCUCGGUGCGGGCUGCGAAAGCGGUACCAAUCUGUUGCAAACUCGGAAUACCUGGAAUGCUUUCAAUCAGCCAGUGAGACUGCGGGGGAUAAGCUCCGUAGUCAAAAGGGAAACAGCCCAGACCACCAGCUAAGGCUCCUAAAUAUAAGCUAAGUGGCAAAGGAGGUGAAAAUGCAGUGACAAUCAGGAGGUUUGCCUAGAAGCAGCCACCCUUUAAAGAGUGCGUAAUAGCUCACUGAUCAAGCGUUUUUGCGCCGAAAAUGACCGGAACUAAGUUUAUUGCCGAAGCUGUGGCUACAUCACACAGAUGAUGUAGGGUAGAGGAGCGUUCCGCCCAGGGGGAAGCCAAGCGCGUAAGCCGCGGUGGACAGGGCGGAAGUGAGAAUGUCAGCUUGAGUAACGAAAACAUUGGUGAGAAUCCAGUGCCCCGAAAACUUAAGGGUUCCUGCGCAAGGCUCGUCCGCGCAGGGUCAGUCAGGACCUAAGGUGAGGCCGAAAGGCGUAAUCGAUGGCAAGAAGGUUUAUAUUCCUUCACUAGUCUAGGCUUAGUCCUGAGGGACGAACAAAUACUAUUUAGUACAGUUGCCCAUGCUUGGCAGUAUGGAUCCAUGCGCUGUAGUUGAAUGCUAUUUAUUCCAAGAAAAGCUCAUCCGACUUCGAGUCUAGACUACCUGUACCGUAAACCGACACAGGUGAGUGGGUUGAAUAAACUAAGGGGAGCGAGAUAACUCUCUCUAAGGAACUCGGCAAAUUGGCUCUGUACCUUCGGAAGAAAGAGUGCCCCUCAGGGGGCCGCAGUGAAGAGAUCCAGGCGACUGUUUACCAAAAACACAGGUCUCCGCAAAGUCGUAAGACGAUGUAUGGGGGCUGACACCUGCCCAGUGCCAGAAGGUUAAAGAAGUUGGUCAAUCUUUGAUGAAGCUAACAACUGAAGCCCUGGUGAACGGCGGCAGUAACUAUAACUGUCCUAAGGUAGCGAAAUUCCUUGUCGGGUAAGUUCCGACCUGCACGAAUGGCGUAACGACUUCCCCGCUGUCUCCAACAUCGACUCAGCGAAAUUGAAUUGCCUGUCAAGAUGCAGGCUUCCCGCGGUUAGACGGAAAGACCCCGUGCACCUUUACUACAGCUUCGCACUGGCAUCAGGAUUGUGAUGUGCAGGAUAGGUGGUAGGCUUUGAACCCGUGACGCCAGUCGCGGUGGAGCCUCCCUUGAGAUACCACC
rnacentral:rRNA from 13 species